GUAACCUCUGGGACCGUGGUAUCACUGUUGAGUGAGGUAGACAUUGAGGUAACCUCUGGGACCGUGGUAUCACUGUUGAGUGAGGUAGACAUUGAGGUAACCUCUGGGACCGUGGUAUCACUGUUGAGUGAGGUAGACAUUGAGGUAACCUCUGGGACCGUGGUAUCACUGUUGAGUGAGGUAGACAUUGAGGUAACCUCUGGGACCGUGGUAUCACUGUUGAGUGAGGUAGACAUUGAGGUAACCUCUGGGACCGUGGUAUCACUGUUGAGUGAGGUAGACAUUGAGGUAACCUCUGGGACCGUGGUAUCACUGUUGAGUGAGGUAGACAUUGAGGUAACCUCUGGGACCGUGGUAUCACUGUUGAGUGAGGUAGACAUUGAGGUAACCUCUGGGACCGUGAUAUCACUGUUGAGUGAGGUAGACAUACAGGCAGAUUCCAACAUUACGGUAACCUCUGGGACCGUGGUAUCACUGUUGAGUGAGGUAGACAUUGAGGUAACCUCUGGGACCGUGGUAUCACUGUUGAGGGAGGUAGACAUACAGUCAGAUUCCAAUGUUACGGUAACCUCUGGGACCGUGGUAUCACUGUUGAGUGAGGUAGACAUUGAGGUAACCUCUGGGACCGUGGUAUCACUGUUGAGUGAGGUAGACAUUGAGGUAACCUCUGGGACCGUGGUAUCACUGUUGAGUGAGGUAGACAUACAGGCAGAUUCCAACGUUACGGUAUCACUGUUGAGUGAGGUAGACAUUGAGGUAACCUCUGGGACCGUGGUAUCACUGUUGAGUGAGGUAGACAUUGAGGUAACCUCUGGGACCGUGGUAUCACUGUUGAGUGAGGUAGACAUACAGGCAGAUUCCAACGUUACGGUAACCUCUGGGACCGUGGUAUCACUGUUGAGUGAGGUAGACAUUGAGGUAACCUCUGGGACCGUGGUAUCACUGUUGAGUGAGGUAGACAUUGAGGUAACCUCUGGGACCAUGGUAUCACUGUUGAGUGAGGUAGACAUUGAGGUAACCUCUGGGACCGUGGUAUCACUGUUGAGGGAGGUAGACAUUGAGGUAACCUCUGGGACCGUGGUAUCACUGUUGAGUGAGGUAGACAUUGAGGUAACCUCUGGGACCGUGGUAUCACUGUUGAGUGAGGUAGACAUUGAGGUAACCUCUGGGACCGUGGUAUCACUGUUGAGUGAGG